rnacentral:rRNA from 1 species
GAUGAACGCUGACAGAAUGCUUAACACAUGCAAGUCGUUGGCGAAGCUGUGCUUGCACAGCCUAGCCAAGGCGGACGGGUGAGGAACGCGUAAGGAACUUGCCCUGCAGUCAGGGAUAACAGACGGAAACGACUGAUAAGACCUGGUAAAGUCAGGCGGACUCAUGUCCAGCCUGAUGAAUAGAGAUGCUGCAGGAGAGCCUUGCGUGCUAUUAGCUUGUUGGUGGGGUAAGGGCCAACCAAGGGGAGGAUAGGGAGCCGACCGGAGCGGGUGGACGGCCACAAGGGGACUGAGAGGCGGCCCUUACUCCUACGGGACGCAGCAGUGGGGAAUAUUGGACAAUGGGGGCAACCCUGAUCCAGCUCUUCUGUGUGCACGAUGAAGGUUUUCGGAUUGUAAAGUACUUUCAGCAGGGAAGAAAAAAAUGACGUUACCUGCAGAAGAAGCGACGGCUAACUACGUG